AUCUAAAAUUCAACCAUUUCAAAGCACUCACACAUUUAUUCACUCUGCCUACUACUAUCCAAUUUCCAAGUCACUCGGAAGAAACGCAGUCGCCAUGGUAACCACUAUGAACAAGCGGACAGUUUCCAAAAUCACAAGACACACAAUCAACUUGAUAGGCACCAAUAGGACAUCAAGAUGGCUGAAGAAAGCUACUUUAACUACUGAACACGCGCUGGACGAUCGUUGUGACUACUCGCUAAUUUUAGCGCAGACCAACUUGCUGGAGAAUAUGAGGACACUGGAAAUUGAAGCCGAUGGGAUUUUGAUGCAGAUACCUAUGAAACGUCCAAAAUAUUCGGCUCCCAAGCCAGUGGUUUUCUGCGUUUCCCCACAGUUUGCUGCAGAGCAGUGGCAGACUUUUCUGGUGCAGUUGCAUGUUUCAAAGCGAUACGGAGCUCAUCUACAACUGUACGUGGUAUCUAUGGUAGAGUCCUACUUCAACUUGCUCAAGGAAUAUGAAAAACUGGGUCUUGUAUCCAUUGAACCUUGGCUCACAAUAAAAUUUCCUACAACAGAUGGACCAUAUUUGGAGCCAAAUCGUAAUGUGGAGCUCAGAAAUCAGGCAGCUGCACACACGGAUUGUAUUCUCAUGUAUAAGGAAGCUGUAAGCUUUAUUGGAGUUAUUGACAUGGAUGACAUACUCAUUCCAACAAAUGCCAACUCUUACUACGAGGAGUUCGAGAGGGAAUAUGCCGGAAGCUGGGAGAUUAGUGCACUGCAAUACCAGAAAUUCGACUUUCGAACUAUAAAAUCUGCAAAGCUUGAAGCUCAAAGUAUUUCGGAAAUUGUGAAAAAUGCGCGGAGGCUUCCCACAAAAGAUCAAGGGAAAUGCUUCUUCCGUCCAGAAAGAUUCAAUUCAUCUUGGUCCCAUUACUCCAGGAAUUCGGAUAAUCACGCAAUAUAUCUCACUCAAGACCAGGAGCACAGGAUUCAUUGGAGAAGGAAAGUGGGUCAGGCGAAUGGGAUAUUCCACAUGAAGAAAAUGACGAUGGUGAAUUUGGAGCAUGUCCCAGAAGGUGCCAUUCCCGUGAACCCUGGUGAUAAUAUUACAGAGUUGAUUAGUGAGCAGCAUUUGAAGGAAAUCAAUGAGGAUAUGAAAAGAAUGCUCACUCGCCCUGAAAUUGCAAACCUAUCCUCCAUCCUCCCCAAUGAUGACUUUUAUAUGAACAUCGUUUUCCAAUGCUACAACGAAUCCUUCUAUCACAUCCGUGACACGAAUUUCCUCUACAAUGACGUCACCUGCGUGAACGCCUUCAAUUGUGAACUUCCCCAACGAGAGAAUAUACCAUGUAUCCAUUCGGAUGCCACGUACCAUUCUGGACCAAAAAUGUGGCCUAUCACCUAUCACUAUGCAACUAAUUCGUUCUUCUCGAGGGAUAUCGGAUGUUAUCAGUGA
rnacentral:misc_RNA from 1 species